CACUGAGAUCCCUCUGCGCUGAGAAGCACUUGUGCAAAGGCAUGUAGACAUCCUUGAAGUGCAGGAGCUGGAAUCCUAAACUGAUUUGAUAGGAAAUCCACGGCGAGAAGAAUUCCUGCAGUACAAAGGGCAGGGAAAGCGUGGGCUUGCUGGGAAAGACUUGGGCAAGGUGGAAAGGAUCAGGUCAGGGAACACCGGUGCAAGCUGGAUGUGGACGAGUUCCCGGGCGCUGAGGAAUGCACCCACAGCUGUUGGGGGGCUGGCGGGUGUCAUGCGUGGCCACUCCCCAUCAGCUUUGACUGACCGUGGCACCUGCGAGAAGCAUCCAAAAACUGGAGGAAAGCAAACAGAAGGGGGAAAGGAGAAGGGCAGCUACAGCCCCUCUCUGCCCCCAGCUCAUGCUUUGCAACACCACAGUUCCCAUCCACGUGUGCUCGGAUCUCCUCCGCCGCCCUCCAUGCACACCUCAGCCCCUGCCAUACCUUACACGCAAAUCACACCCCCUCUAUGUACCCUCCAAUCCCCUCUGCUUAGAUCUCUGUGUCCCACCCCAUCCACCCACGGAUUUGUCCAGUUCCUAGCACCUCGGGUGCCCUCCAUUCUCACCGUGACCACUCAAGGUCUCUCCAGUCCCCGGAGUUUGCUCUCCCCGCUGGAUGAGGACUGGCAUCCAAGUGUUUGUUCAAAGGCAGCGCUCUUCAGAGCUCUCGGCUACGCCGUUCCCAGCAGGAAUUUCAUCCAAGGAGCUGAGCACUCACAGCGGAGAGCAUUCCAAGCACUCCGGCAGGCACAGGCGUUGUUUUCUUUGCGGCUGUGUGCCAGGCACCACGAUCACUUUCUUCUCAGGUCGUGUUUUCUGAGGGCCAGAAGGGAACUCGCUCUGAUUCCCACCCCCAGGAGAACGGAGGCUGCGUGGGUCAGACGCGCUCCCCCCACCCACUGCAGAGGGCCCUACAAGUGCCUCUCCCACUGCAGCCCCACGGCUCUGCGUGUCAGAGGGAGCCCCGUGCCGCAGCCAUGGUAACCCAGUGCCUUCUACUCCCUGCUUGUGUGCUGGUCUUGGCCGCCCCAGGCCUCUCCGUGCCUGCACAAACCCUGAACACUUUCAAGAAAACCUUCUCCAACACUUCGACAAGCGCUCUGAAGAAAAACAGUUGGCCCAAGGACUGCAGUGAGAUCUCUGCGGGCAGCCCCAGCG